rnacentral:rRNA from 1 species
GUAGGGUCCAAGCGUUAAUCGGGAAUUACUGGGGCGUAAAGCGUGCGCAGGCGGUUGUGCAAGACCGAUGUGAAAUCCCCGGGGCUUAACCUGGGAAUUGCAUUGGUGACUGCACGGCUAGAGUGUGUCAGAGGGGGGUGGAAUUCCACGUGUAGCAGUGAAAUGCGUAGAGAUGUGGAGGAAUACCGAUGGCGAAGGCAGCCCCCUGGGAUAACACUGACGCUCAUGCACGAAAGCGUGGGGAGCAAACAGGAUUAGAUACCCUGGUAGUCCACGCCCUAAACGAUGUCAACUAGUUGUUGGGGAUUCAUUUCCUUAGUAACGUAGCUAACGCGUGAAGUUGACCGCCUGGGGAGUACGGUCGCAAGAUUA